AGUACCCCAUUUAAUACCCGGACUUUUAUAGUCAUGCCACACUCCUACGGUUAUCGCGCUCGCUCGCGCCAUGUCUUAUCUGUUCCGUUCCGCCAACAUGGACCCGUUAAUCUGAACACGUAUAUGCGAGUCUUUCAUCGUGGAGAAUAUGUAGACAUCCGCCCCAACGCUAAAGUACAAAAAGGCAUGCCACACAAGAAAUACUGCGGAAAGACGGGGGUCAUUUUCGACAUAACUCCUCGUGCUGUCGCCGUUGAUGUGACUAAACGCGUCCAUAACCGUAUCAUUAGAAAGCGCGUAUAUGUUCGCGUAGAGCAUAUCAAAAAAUCCAGAUGUCGAGAAGAGUAUUUGAAUCGCAUUCGUGAAAUUUCAAAAAAAAAUGCUGAGGCCAGAAAGAACAACGUCAAGAAAGUGAACUACAAGCGAACCCCACAACUUCCUCGCCCGUCUUACUCUGUUCCUAUUAGUUCUGUCAAUAUUGAGACCGUGGCACCUAUGCCCUACCGUGAAGUUUUCUAAAAAUAAAAACAAACUGACAACCAGCGCGUGCAUAACAGAGAA